AACGAACGCUGGCGGCAUGCCUAACACAUGCAAGUCGAACGAGAUCUUCGGGUCUAGUGGCGCACGGGUGCGUAACGCGUGGGAAUCUGCCCUUUGGUUCGGAAUAACAGUUGGAAACGACUGCUAAUACCGGAUGAUGACGAAAGUCCAAAGAUUUAUCGCCAGAGGAUGAGCCCGCGUAGGAUUAGCUAGUUGGUGUGGUAAAGGCGCACCAAGGCGACGAUCCUUAGCCGGUCUGAGAGGAUGAUCAGCCACACUGGGACUGAGACACGGCCCAGACUCCUACGGGAGGCAGCAGUGGGGAAUAUUGGACAAUGGGCGAAAGCCUGAUCCAGCAAUGCCGCGGGAGUGAUGAAGGCCUUAGGGUUGUAAAGCUCUUUUACCCGGGAUGAUAAUGACAGUACCGGGAGAAUAAGCUCCGGCUAACUCCGUGCCAGCCGCCGCGGUAA
rnacentral:rRNA from 1 species